AUUUAAUUUCACGAAAUAACUUGAGCUAACUUCUUGGUGGAUGUUGGUCCAAUUAAUAGUGUGUUGCAAAACAUUACCUUUACAAGUAGUUAGGGGUGAUAGGCCAAGCAAAAGUCAUGAUAUCUUGAUUUUGGGGAAAUUUAUUUAGUAAUUAAGCAAACUUAAAGUGAUAAGGCUUUAAAUUUAAAAUUAAACUUUGAAAGUAUGUGCUCAUAACUUUAACCGGCAGUGUAUAAUGUUGAAUACCAUUAAAAUAUUUAGAUUAUUUAUAAUACCUAAUUAUAAAAUUGUUGAUUAAUUUAUAAUGUUAAUAUAAGUAAAUAAAUAGAUUAGUGAAAUGAACUCGGCAAAUUUACCUUUCGACUGUUUACCAAAAACAUAACUGCAUGAAUUUCUAUGCAGCAUUUUCUGCUCAAUGAAUAUUAAAUAGCCGCAGUACUCUGACUGUGCAAAGGUAGCAUAAUCAGUUGGCUUAUAAUUGAAGUCUGGGAUCAACGAAUGCACGGAGGGUUACUGUGUCCUAAUAAAAUAUUGAAAUUAUUUAGUAAGUGAAAAUGCUUACCUGUAAAUAAAAGACGAGAAGACCCUAGAAAUUUAAAUUGCAUUUUGUUGGGGCGACAUGGUAGCAUUAAACCUACAGUAAGUACAGGAAUUUUAUUAGAUGUAAGAUUAAUUACUCUAGGGAUAACAGCAUAAUUUAGAAAAGUUUGUGACCUCGAUGUUGGACUAGGAAAUUUAAGUCCAGACAAC
rnacentral:rRNA from 1 species